CUCCUGCUACAAUUAUUUUGUGCUCGUAUUUGUGGAUGCACUUUGAUAAAAAUGAAAUAAAAAUGUAUUUAUUGGAAUUGUGUCUGUAUGUGUGUCUUGGUACUAUAGUAUAUUAUUAGUGACAUAAUGGCGUAUGCAUAACAUAUCUACCUCUCUCGUGUUUAUUAUGAUAAGUACAUAUCUGGACCCUGAAACUGGAGCUCGCUCCUUGGUGCGCCCCACCCAAUUGGCGCGCUCACUGAUGGUGGCACCAAGAACUCACGGUAAACACCCCUCGUGACGGAACUUUGAAAACACUGGAACAGACUGGGCGCGAAGGAGAGAUGAUGGGAAUGGGAGAUUCUGGAAGCAGUACAGACUUGCGACGACGUUACGCUUAAAACGAUAGGCUAUUGUGUGCAAGACUGGAAUGCUUUAGCAAAAAGCCCCUCUUGCCUCUCGGUUCCGUGGAGGAAGUGUCAGAGAUGCCCGCCGAAGAUGCUGAGCUUCUGGCAAAAGAGAGUGGGAAAUAAUGAGUGCAGGGAUUAUGAGGUUGACAAUACAAAUAUAUGGCUGCACGUAAAGAACUAGCUUUCCCUGAGAGUGCAUGAACAACAUUCAAUCUGAGGUUGUUCAUGCAACAUCUGAUAUCAACCGGAGAACCGAUGCUAUGGUGAUCGAGAUAUGAGCAGAGGGAACAGCGGCGAGAUGAUGGCGGCGGUGAGACCCAAGUGCAUGCGGCUUUUCUGGCGGCUCUGUGUCUGUGGUGUCGGGAUCGUCACUGCCACCUGACUCGUACACUUCCUAGACGUAACAGCAAUCCACAAGUUUCCAGCAGAUGUCUUCUCUCCAGAGCAGAGGAGAAAAGGAGCAGUUCUUCUCCAUGUAGUCUGUGCGGUCUACAUGUUCUAUGCCCUGGCUAUAGUCUGUGAUGUCUAUUUCGUUCCAUCACUGGAGAAGAUAUCAGAG
rnacentral:lncRNA from 1 species